AUCUGUUCUUAUCAUUUGAAUAUCUGAUAAUGUCCUUUAUUUGAGGACUGUAUAUUAAAUUGAUUUUUGAAAUAGGGGGAUGGAAUAGUAGCUUGCUCUGUCCACCCCAUGCAUCGACCUGGUAUUGCAGUGCCUCCAGGAACAGUGC
rnacentral:snRNA from 1 species